UACGGAGGGGGCGAGCGUUAUUCGGAAUUAUUGGGCGUAAAGGGCGCGUAGGCGGCCCGGUAAGUCAAAGGUGAAAUCCCUCGGCUCAACUGAGGAACUGCCUUUGAAACUGUCGGGCUUGAGGCCGGGAGGGGGUAGCGGAAUUCCCAGUGUAGCGGUGAAAUGCGUAGAUAUCAGGAGGAACACCGGUGGCGAAGGCGGGACUCUGGGCCGAUACUGACGCUGAGGAGCGAAAGCGUGGGGAGCAAACAGG
rnacentral:rRNA from 1 species